GCUGAUAGGGCUGCUGAGCAGGCCGCUGUGAUAUAGCGGUUGUAAAAUUUUAUUUUCGUCGGUA
rnacentral:tRNA from 1 species